ACUUCGCUUGAUACCGAUUCCUUUAAGCAGUCAACAUUAGAAUGCAGUUUAAACCACCUCCAAGCAGAUUUAUGUAAUGCGCUCUAGUAAUGCGAAAGUAGUUCCCCAGUGCUUAAUCUUUUAUGGAAAAGGGUUUGGAAAUAGCUGUUUCCAUAAUGACAAUCAAAAAAAACUACCUACAUGUCACGACGUGCGCGCAUGCUGUUCGCUCUCCUCUCGCGCACGUCACGAGCAUGGCCGGAAUGAUACACUAGCACAGGUUGCCGAGCGUUGAAAUAUCGCCUCCCAUUAAUUUCAUUGGAAGGAAGGCGGUGAGAAGCGGAGAGUGCGGGGGACCUUUAGGCGGUGCGAAGGUGGCGUGGGAGGCAGUGGAAAAAUAUAAACUUUACCCAACUUUGUGCAAAUCACCAGCGCGACCACUGGGCGAUGACCAAUCAUAUCGAGUGAUUCCCAUGACGAAUUUGAUGCUUUGCGACCCAAGGCUGGAGACUUUCUUCAGCAAAGAUGGCUGACAAAAAUACUACGAUGGAAGCAAAUGGACUCCUGAAACAACCAGCAAGUCAGGCUGUCGUCUUGUGGAAACAGUGGAUGUAAAGAAUCUAGCUAGCUAAAGCAUUUACUGCAAAUUGAGUGUGCAAUUGUGUAAGCUUGUCUUGCUGAUAUUUGCCAUGCAAUGCAGAUGGAUGAAAUAACGUAGCUAGCUGUGUUCUUGCUUAUUGUACAGUGGAGGAUAAACAAUACCUGUAUGCCUAUGGAUGUGUAGCUAACGUUAGCGUUCAAGCCGAUCGGUGUAUGGACCCAAACGUUUGGCAUACAUAUUAGUUCAGAACCUAGCUAUGAACCUUAGCUAUCAUAGCCGGUUGUAUCAAAUUCAAAACAGUCUGAACGACAUUAAUGAAGCCUAUGGAUUGAGUAGAAUAUAAUAUAACUUUGUGCCAAGGAUGCAAGUCGUAGACAAGUUAUUACCAUGCAUGAGAUCCCCACAUUGUAGCCUGUACAUUUAAUAUAUUCACUGAUCAUGUACUCUACCUUGGCAAAUAAAGGUGCAUUUCAUGUA